CGGGGUGUAGCGCAGUUGGUAGCGCACCUGCUUUGGGAGCAGGGGGCCGCGUGUUCGAAUCACGCCACCCCGACCA
rnacentral:tRNA from 1 species